UACGGGGGGAGCAAGCGUUGUUCGGAUUUACUGGGCGUAAAGGGCGCGUAGGCGGCGCAACAAGUCACUUGUGAAAUCUCCGGGCUUAACCCGGAGCGGUCAAGUGAUACUGUCGUGCUAGAGUGCGGAAGGGGCUACUGGAAUUCUCGGUGUAGCGGUGAAAUGCGUAGAUAUCGAGAGGAACACCUGCGGCGAAGGCGGGUAGCUGGGCCGACACUGACGCUGAUGCGCGAAAGCGUGGGGAGCAAACAGG
rnacentral:rRNA from 1 species